UCCCUGGUGGCUCAGAGGGUAAAGCAUCUGCCUGAAAUACAGGAGACCUGGGUUUGAUUCCUGGUUUGGGAA
rnacentral:tRNA from 1 species